AUUGAACGCUGGCGGCACGCCUAACACAUGCAAGUCGAGCGGUAGCAGGGCCUGUAGCCAUCCAGUCUGCUGACGAGCGGCGGACGGGGGAGGAACACGUAGGAACCUGCCCUUCAGAGGGGGAUACCUAAGGGAAACUUUAGUUAAUACCGCAUAGACGCUGAGGAGGAAAGCUGCCGCAUGGUGGCGCUGCAGGAGGGGCCUGCGUCCGAUUAGCUAGUUGGUAGGGUAAGAGCCUACCAAGGCGAUGAUCGGUAACUGGUCUGAGAGGACGACCAGUCACACUGGGACUGAGACACGGCCCAGACUCCUACGGGAGGCAGCAGUGGGGAAUAUUGGACAAUGGGGGCAACCCUGAUCCAGAGAUGCCGCGUGAGUGAAGAAGGCCUUUUGGUUGUAAAGCACUUUAAGCGAGGAGGAGGCUACCUGGAUUAAUACUCUAGGAUAGUGGACGUUACUCGCAGAAUAAGCACCGGCUAACUCUGUGCCAGCAGCCGCAGUAAGAC
rnacentral:rRNA from 1 species